rnacentral:lncRNA from 1 species
GGAAAUGGUUUCAGAGGCUCAUGGUUUCAGAGGGUUCAGUCCACGGUAGGCUCUAAGUCAGCAAUGUUAGGGUGGAAGGAUGUGGUGGAGCAAAUCUGCUCCCUUCAUGGUGGCUGUAAGCAGAGAAUAAGGGAAUACCACAGCAAGAAACAUACACUCUCCAAGGACAGGUUCCUGGGGACCCACCUCCAUCCCAACCCCACCUACCAGCACAUCUAGCUGUGGACAUCAGUGGGCAUAUAGCACUACCAUGAUCCAGUCUCGUCUCUAGGAACUUCUUAAUCCGGCCUAAGUUGACAGUCAGGCUUAACUGUCACAUACGUGACACUAAGGAGUGCAGUAGAAAUUGCUUUCACUGAGUUCACACCUUAGGGAGAGAGAGGACAUUAAAGGAUUCUGGUGAUGGGACGUUAUUAUCUCUUUACAGAAGAGCAAGAUCCUUACAGGAGCUUGGCCCCGGAGUCGUGGGAGAGAUGGGAGCAGGAACUUCAGGAAGAAAUGAGUGCAUGAACGUUAUGAUGACGCUAGCCCCUCGCGGAGUGGUUCCGAUCAAAAGGGCAAUGUCAGCCCAAUGUCACUGUCCCGCUCGUCUCAUCUCGUUGCGCUUCCGCCACCAGCGAGGCAGCACGAAGGCUCAGCAGACGCUCGCAAGCGGUUCUUGGGCUUCUCAGACUCCAAGACCGCGACCCAACAAACGACUGUUUUUUGCUUUGUUUUGUUCUUUUUGGUACCGGGGAUAGAACUUGGGUCCUUGCGCUUGCGAGGCAGGUGGCGGACAAACUAUUGUUUAUAAAUCACCCGGUCCAUGAUAUUCUGUUAUAGUACAGAAAAUUAAAUGAGAUGAUGUGUCAUCUCUUAGACGCCGUGGGUUAUUUAAAAUAUUUAUUGUAAGACACGGUCUCAUUUGGGAGCAAGGAUUCUGUCAGCAAGGGG